rnacentral:snRNA from 1 species
GGUUGUGAGGGAGAUCUGGCUGCAAUCUCUGUCACCCUGUUGAUUGCCAGGAUUGAUUCUGCUGAUAUGUUUAGCUAGGUAGGUGUCCCCUUCCUCCCUCACUGCCUCAUGUGUAUCUUUCCUGAACCUGCAUGCUCCUUUGAAGAGGACUAUCUUCCUAGAAUAUAGGGACUGGUCUUCAGUCAAGGGUAUACAAGUAGCUGUGGUCCCCUGGUAGAACCUCCAAACAAGCUCUCAAGGUCCUUAGUGGCAGAAGAAACUGGCCCCCUUUACCAAAGUCACACAAAGAGAAAAACCACCACCACAUGCAAGCACAUUCU